rnacentral:rRNA from 1 species
GACGUACGCUGGCGGCGUGCUCAACACAUGCAAGUCGAACGGAAAGGCCCUGCUUUUGUGGGGUGCUCGAGUGGCGAACGGGUGAGUAACACGUGAGUAACCUGCCCUUGACUUUGGGAUAACUUCAGGAAACUGGGGCUAAUACCGGAUAGGAGCUCCUGCUGCAUGGUGGGGGUUGGAAAGUUUCGGCGGUUGGGGAUGGACUCGCGGCUUAUCAGCUUGUUGGUGGGGUAGUGGCUUACCAAGGCUUUGACGGGUAGCCGGCCUGAGAGGGUGACCGGCCACAUUGGGACUGAGAUACGGCCCAGACUCCUACGGGAGGCAGCAGUGGGGAAUAUUGCACAAUGGGCGGAAGCCUGAUGCAGCAACGCCGCGUGCGGGAUGACGGCCUUCGGGUUGUAAACCGCUUUCGCCUGUGACGAAGCGUGAGUGACGGUAAUGGGUAAAGAAGCACCGGCUAACUACGUGCCAGCAGCCGCGGUGAUACGUAGGGUGCGAGCGUUGUCCGGAUUUAUUGGGCGUAAAGGGCUCGUAGGUGGUUGAUCGCGUCGGAAGUGUAAUCUUGGGGCUUAACCCUGAGCGUGCUUUCGAUACGGGUUGACUUGAGGAAGGUAGGGGAGAAUGGAAUUCCUGGUGGAGCGGUGGAAUGUGCAGAUAUCAGGAGGAACACCAGUGGCGAAGGCGGUUCUCUGGGCCUUUCCUGACGCUGAGGAGCGAAAGCGUGGGGAGCGAACAGGCUUAGAUACCCUGGUAGUCCACGCUGUAAACGGUGGGUACUAGGUGUGGGGUCCAUUCCACGGGUUCCGUGCCGUAGCUAACGCUUUAAGUACCCCGCCUGGGGAGUACGGCCGCAAGGCUAAAACUCAAAGGAAUUGACGGGGCCCCGCACAAGCGGCGGAGCAUGCGGAUUAAUUCGAUGCAACGCGUAGAACCUUACCUGGGUUUGACAUGGAUCGGGAGUGCUCAGAGAUGGGUGUGCCUCUUUUGGGGUCGGUUCACAGGUGGUGCAUGGCUGUCGUCAGCUCGUGCCGUGAGAUGUUGGGUUAAGUCCCGCAACGAGCGCAACCCUUGUUCACUGUUGCCAGCACGUUAUGGUGGGGACUCAGUGGAGACCGCCGGGGUCAACUCGGAGGAAGGUGGGGAUGACGUCAAGUCAUCAUGCCCCUUAUGUCCAGGGCUUCACGCAUGCUACAAUGGCUGGUACAGAGAGUGGCGAGCCUGUGAGGGUGAGCGAAUCUCGGAAAGCCGGUCUCAGUUCGGAUUGGGGUCUGCAACUCGACCUCAUGAAGUCGGAGUCGCUAGUAAUCGCAGAUCAGCAACGCUGCGGUGAAUACGUUCCCGGGGCU